AUGCAGAGCCACCCCAUGGCCCUCAUCUGGAACGUCAACUCCACCACUGCCUACGUCCUUGGCGACGGCUACCUCACAUCGUCUGCUAUGGAAUCCUGCAGAAAGCUGUGGAAGUGGGAGAGAUUCUCCUAUUUUCGUGAGUCUAAAGAUGUGCACCUAGUCAGCUCCUGCAAUGGCCUGAUCUGCCUGUGCGACAACAAGGAGUGGACCGGUGGCGCGGUCACGGUUGUCAAUCCGGCCACCGGUGACACACUGCCUGUCCCGCCGCUGCCGGUCUCUAAAUUGUCCGUCAGGAGCCAUGGGGCAAAGAUAUGGCACGAGGCGUACAACUUUGCGUACCAUCCGACAACGGGGAAGUACAAGGUGGUGCACGUCCCAUGCAAAUGUGAUCCGAUCUUCGUGUUCAAAACCGUGCAGGUGUUCACGCUGGGGGAGAAGACGUGGCGGGACGUGCCGGCCCCUGCCAACGCGAGGUGCAAGCUUGCAGCGGGUAUUGUCAGUAUCGACGGCAUGACGCACUGGGUAAGGACGGGCAGCCGACGGACGGUUGUGUCGUUUGAUCUGGACGCCGAGUGCAUCGUCUCCACCACAGGGCUGCCCCCGCUGCCGGACAGACGUGAGAGCUAG
rnacentral:rRNA from 1 species